AUUGAACGCUGGCGGCAUGCUUUACACAUGCAAGUCGAACGGCAGCGCGGGCUUCGGGUUGGCUGCGAGUGGCGAACGGGUGAGUAAUACAUCGGAACGAGCUCAGCUGUGGGGUAGAGCUCGGCGAAAGCCGUGGUACUACCGCAGACGACCUGAGGGUGAAAGCGGGGGGGCGUCGGACCGCGCGCUAUGGGAGCGGCCGAUGGCAGGUUAGCUAGUUGGUGGGGUAAAGGCCUACCAAGGCGGCGAUCGGUGGCUGGUCUGAGAGGGCGACCAGCCACACUGGAACUGAGACACGGACCAGACUCCUACGGGAGGGAGCAGUGGGGAAUUUUGGACAAUGGGCGAAAGCCUUAUCCAGCAAUGCCGCGUCUGUGAUGACGGCCUCCGGGUUGUAAAGCCCGUUUGGCGGGAGUGAAAAGGAUUGUGCUAAUACGACGGUUGGAUGACGGUACCCGCAGAAUAAGCACCGGCUAACUACGUG
rnacentral:rRNA from 1 species